GAAACGACUGCUAAGACUGGAUAGGAGAUAAGAAGGCAUCUUCUUAUUUUUAAAAGACCUAGUAAUAGGUAUGCUUAAGGAGGGGCUUGCGUCACAUUAGUUAGUUGGUAGGGUAAAGGCCUACCAAGACGAUGAUGUGUAGCCGGGCUGAGAGGCUGAACGGCCACAUUGGAAUUGAGACACGGUCCAAACUCCUACGGGAGGCAGCAGUAGGGAAUUUUCGGCAAUGGAGGAAACUCUGACCGAGCAACGCCGCGUGAACGAUGAAGUAUUUCGGUACGUAAAGUUCUUUUAUUAAGGAAGAAAAGAUGGUGGAAAAACCAUUAUGACGGUACUUAAUGAAUAAGCCCCGGCUAACUAUGUGCCAGCAGCCGCGGUAAUACAUAGGGGGCGAGCGUUAUCCGGAAUUAUUGGGCGUAAAGGGUGCGUAGGCGGUUUAAUAAGUUUAUGGUCUAAGUGCAAUGCUUAACAUUGUGAUGCUAUAAAAACUGUCUGACUAGAGUUGGAUAGAGGCAAGUGGAAUUCCAUGUGUAGUGGUAAAAUGCGUAAAUAUAUGGAGGAACACCAUGAGCGAAGGCGGCUUGCUGGGUCUUAACUGACGCUGAGGCACGGAAGCGUGGGGAGCAAACAGGAUUAGAUACCCUGGUAGUCCACGCUGUAAACGAUGAGUACUAGACGUUGGGUUAAACCAGUGUCGAAGUUAACACAUUAAGUACUCCGCCUGAGUAGUACGUACGCAAGUAUGAAACUUAAAGGAAUUGACGGGACUCCGCACAAGCGGUGGAUCAUGUUGUUUAAUUCGAAGAUACCCGAAAAACCUCACCAGGUCUUGACAUGCUUCUGCAAAGCUGUAGAAAUAUAGUAGAGGUUAUCAGUUGUACAGGUGGUGCAUGGUUGUCGUCAGCUCGUGUCGUGAGAUGUUGGGUUAAGUCCCGCAACGAGCGCAACCCUUGUUGUUAAUUGCCAUCAUUAAGUUGGGGACUUUAGCAAGACUGCCAGUGAUAAAUUGGAGGAAGGUGGGGAUGACGUCAAAUCAUCAUGCCCCUUAUGACCUGGGCUACAAACGUGAUACAAUGGCUGUUACAAAGGGCAGCUGAAGCGCAAGUUUUUGGCAAAUCCCAAAAAAACAGUCUCAGUUCGGAUUGAAGUCUGCAACUCGACUUCAUGAAGUUGGAAUCGCUAGUAAUCGCGAAUCAGCAUGUCGCGGUGAAUACGUUCUCGGGGUUUGUACACACCGCCCGUCA
rnacentral:rRNA from 1 species